CGGACGGGCGCUGUGUGGGGGCGGAUGGCGUCGGGCUGGGCGUGGGGCAGCGCUGCGUCCGGGUCCGGAAGCGUCCGGGUCAGGAGCGGGCGCCAGUAGACACAAGAAAGGUGUAAUUCUCCGAAGUGUUGUUCCUGCUGGACGUGCUGCGCGGUAGGCGCAGCAGCCGCGCCUGUCCCCGGCCCGCGUUCCCGAUCGGCGCCGUUCCCGGCCGUGCCCAGCCCAGGGCUCAGGCUGCGCCCCCCGUGUGCCCGGAGGCCUACGAGCUGCGGACCGUGCUGAGCGCCCGGAAAGGAGAGGUUUCUCGUUAGAAGGCAUUGCACGCUGCACGGGUUUUUUUUUCAAGAAUUGCAGCACAGUUUUUCCUACUGAAGCUGACCAUUUUCAAUAAUGGCAAGACUCCCAAGUGCUGCACCGUAUAUCCUGUGGAUCCUUUUCUUUUCAUAUACAGCAAAUAAAGUUUUGACUGCAGGACACAUACAAGAAUUUGCAUGCUUCACUGACUAUGACAAAGAGCUGGUUUGUCACUGGAAGGUGCCUGCACAAACCAAUUGCUCCAAAGAAUUCGUGCUCUACUACAGUGAGGAAACUUCUUUGUCAAACAAGUGUGUUCCUGUGAAUGAAAAAGACAGUUUAAGGUGCACUUGUACAAUAUAUCCAGAAUAUUUUGCAGUAAGCCUCACAUAUAUUCUAGCCCUACAAUUCAAUGGCACUGAUUCGUGGAAUUACAAUGUUACACCAGCCCUUGUUGUUAAGCCAAGAGCCCCCAAAAAUCUUGCCAUUGAAAAAGCUGAAAAUGGUAAUUUCAAUUUGAGCUGGGAGGAGAGCUACUCUCAUCCAUCCUUUCUCUCUGGAGAGCCAGUCAUCUAUGAAGUGAAAUACUGGAGGAAGCAGCACCCGACAGAGGCUUCUGUAAAAGCAAUUAACUACCAGGCAAAAAGUUUUGAGAUUACCGCAAGCUCCUUGAAGAGGGGCUAUGAUUAUGUUGCAAGUCUCAGGUGUAACUACGUGGAAUACCCAGCCUACUGGAGUGAAUGGAGUGAAGAAGUUGAAUUUCGCAAUGAUUACCAGGUGAAGGCUGAAGACAUUCUGCAGAUGGCUGUGCCCACAUCCUGCAUACUGAUCAUGGCAGGAUCCAUAAUUUGUUACUUCUGUUUCACCAAAGUGAAGAAAGAAUGGUGGGAUCAAAUCCCAAAUCCAGCAAAGAGCCAAUCAGUUGUAAAAAAUGUCAAGUUUUCAGUUUUGUGCUACUUUGAUGAAAUUAAGUUCCCGUUCCAGGACUUAAAGCACAGUCACAUGGAACAACAAAUAAGUUGCAAGAGCUGUCUGGCUGAAAGUUUGUCAAGCCAAAACUUCAAGGGAAAAGAUAACAUCAGAAAUGUUGAGAAAUCUUGCAGUUGCUACAGCAAGUCUGAAGAGUGGUUGCCAAAAGACAGCAGUGCAGUUUUAAUCCCUGAUACAAUACCAGUUGAAGAGUGUAUAGAAAUCUGUGUAUGUUUAACAGACAGUGAAACUGAGAGCCAAGAAGAAACUGGCAACCAGAUCACCAUGUUUGAGCCUUGUGAGAGCAGCAUUGGUGCUUUCAGAGAGCACCCUGAACACAAUGAGUUACUAGCUAACAUGUUUGAUGCACUCCUGGCAGAUGAAAAUAACAUGGAAGACAAUAAAGGCCCAAACAUUCCCACAGCUGAGAGGAAAACCAUAAAGAACACUGGGUCUGAAAAUCCAUCACAGCAAAAUCCAAAAGAAAGUGUAGACCAGAGUCUGCAACCGUGUGAUAUUUCUCAUACAGCUCCUCUUUUCACCAAAGCCUCUCAAGAUGGCUACAAUUGUAGUACAGCCAGCAAAGAGUCAGAACUAUCAGAAGAAUCCUUUGAAUCUGGGUAUCGGAGCUCCAGCAUAAAUUCUGCUUCUCUGGAUGCAAGAGAUCUUCAACAAAUGGUUCAUCAAAGCCGUUUUCUAUGUCAUUCUGAAAGUGAGCUUGGCUCUUGUGUCCUGACCCAGGAGUCUACAAAUAAAUCAUUAUUUGGAACUGAAACAGACAGAAAAAACAGCCCUGCAGACAAGAGUUUUGAUACCCUUGUGUCUGCAUCCAUGGGGUUGUGUGGUUCUGCCUACAAGGGCUGUGACACCCUUUUGUCUCCAUCCCUGGAACCCUGUGGCUCUGCCUACAGGAGCUUUAAUAUGCUUGUGUCUGCAUGCAAGGAGCCAAGCAGCUCUGCAUACAAGAGCUUCAGCGCCCUCAUGUCUCAGUCGAUGGCUAACAGUAGCCUGACUCUGGGCUUUGAAAGUGUGCCUUCCUUACCACAUUUGAGACAAUUGUCAGAGAUGCCCGAAUGCAGCUGCAGAGACCAAAGGGCUCAGCCUGCUAGCAAUCAGAUGUGUUACAACAACUACAGAUCUCCCAGCACUGAGCUUGAUUUUCCAAACACCUGUUCAGAACAUACUGAUUUUCUGUCUUUCUCCACACAUGUAAAUGAAGGUGCUUCAGCUUUUCUUUCAGAGGAAGAAAUGCAUAAGCAAGUAAUAUAUCAAAAUGUUCGAAGGAAAGCUGAUAUAAUUUCUUGCCCCAUUGCACCUCAGCCAUCUGGCUAUCAGCCUUUUGGUAGUGCAGGUAAAUGUAAUGGUCUAUACUGGGACAGUGACAAUGAGGUUAUACCUACAUCACUAUAUGAAUCCUUCAUUAAUAUGUGCAACAACCUGAAUGAAGCACCACCAGAUACUGCAAUCUAUGAAUCUGACACAAGGAUAAAGGAUGAUGUGUGUUUGACUGUUCAGGGUUCUGACUGCACCACUGUCCCAGGUUUAGCAUCUAGUGAGAAUGACACGCAGAUUAGUGAUGGUAGCCCUUGGAUCAACAGCACUAAUGAGCUGUAUGGUGAUAGCAACGAUGAAAAUACCAGCAGAGAUAAACAGCUGUUGCAUUUGUUAGAGAUGAAAUGUCAAGAUUUAAACAGCGGUGAAAGAGCUACAAAGACAACAAAAUGGAAAAGCUUUAACCCUACUGGGAAAGUAAUGCAAGAGAGUGGUGAUAACAGACUAAAUUACUGACUUCCACUACCACUCACACAAUCACUUAGGGAAACUUGGAGGUGCAGGGGGAAGUGAAGAGGUGCUGAAGCAUGCAAAUGGGGGCAGGGGGUGUGGCUCAGCAGUCAGCUUACCAGCAUCACUGGACAGUAUUGGGCUAAGCUUAGAAAGGAAAACUGUAGAGCCCCUGGAGCUCCAUGGCUCAGACAAGGUGCUACCUAAUUAUUUUCAUGCUUCUGUGACUGAGACCUUGCAGUCAUGGCAACAGCCCCCAAGGCCUCUCCUACUGCACCAAAGUCACAAGGUCAGAAGGAAUUUUCUGGUAAAAAAAGCAAGGAGACCAGUGAACUGGACUGCAGGACUGUUGUCUUUCUAAGCAGAUUGCUCCAAAACAAAGGAAAAACACAGUAAAGUGAGGAAGAGAGCAUUUUCCAGUUACUUCACUAACACAACCAAAGCCUAAUGAAUUGCCAUUCAUUGGCCUGUUUUCCCAGAGUGCCUAACAGCUAUCAGCAGCACAGCUGGAUUGCUAAAUCCUGAGUGUUUUCAUUCCUUGUGACAAGCCUGUUGAGAGGAAGUUUACAUCUCUGCAGAACUCUGGCCAAAGGUGCUUUGCUCUAUUUGUUCUUUUUGCUGUCCUGUUUCCAAUCUGCCGAUCCUGUAGUUUUCUAUAACAUUGAAAUGUCCAUACUUUCCCUUCAAGUAAGACUGCAAGAUGAAAGAGAAGAAAAACUGGCAACAGGCCUAGUUGAACAGAAUGGGGAACUGGCUGCUAUGGCAUGUUUAGAUGCAUGAGGGGAGGAACAGCUGUUUAGGUCUUUUUUGCUCUUAGUCAGAAUGCUGUCUGUAAAACUGAUCAUCUGUGCAUGAGGCCUAAGAUUCUGUAUUCUGAAUGCAGAGAGGCAAUAGUCAUGGCAAGAGUUGUUACAGUACAGCCUGUCAGCCACAAUCUGUCUUUGGUAGAGGGAUUUGUGUGCUAGACCUGCCCCAGUCCAAGGAGCACGGCAGGCAUCCUAAGGAGCUCCUGUCCCAGUUUAGUGAUGGAUCAGCCACUUCCUUCAUCCUGUCUCUACCCAAUCGUAAAGAGCAGGGCAUUCAUAACAGUGCGGUAUUUCUCCUCUGAUUGAAGGCUACCAAGUUGUUGACUAAUACGUAGCACUGGGAUUUUCCUACUUGGUGCUGUUUCCCCAGCUCUUAGAAAUGGGGAAAUUCACUAUAAACUGAAGGGUUUGAGGUUGACUGCUUCUCCCCAGCUCAGCUUCUGCUGGUUUCACUUGCAAUGAGCCACCCACACAGCAGCAAGAAUUAUAAUGAGGUGAGAAAGCACUGGACGGCAUUCUGGGGUAGAAUUUCCGCGCCUGGGUCAGCCUUAUAACCAGUCCCCAGCUCUUGUUUUGACGCCCUAGGGAGUUUCUGUGAGAACCAGAUGUGCGUUGGCUGUGGAGCCAGUGCCUGUGGUAAACAGCCAGCUGAGGUCUGGAGGAGGUGGCUUGUACUGUGGUGCAAGUGCUGACCAGUGCACAUGUCUGGCAGGCCCUGGGCUUGAAGGUUGUGCAGGGCAGUUCACUGCUGCCUGGUCUUUCCCCUCCACUGCCUGGCUGAGGUGCUUCAGAAACACAUAGCAUGCUCCUCCACAAUAUGACCGAGGGCAAUGAAGCCAUGAAAUGCCUUGUUUCCUCUGCUAUAGUAAAAAUUAGGAUACACAGUUUGGCCUGUGCUGACUUAUUUCAUGGGCUCAUUCUGAGCUAUGCUGUGCCCCUGCAACAGACGCCAUUGUUCAGAAGUAUUAGGAAUUCUUCCCACUUCUGGUCAAGCUGCCUUUGCUCUUCUUGCAACUUAAAAACUUAAACAACUUGUAAGAACUGCUGUUCGUACAACUCUGGCUCUGCUCCUAUAUUGGGUUUGUGUAGCAAGAUUUUAUAGUGGAGGGGGGCUACAAGGUUGGCUUUUCUGAGAAGCCACUCCCUUCCUGCCUUUUCUCCUAAAGGCAUGUCACUUGCUGCCAGUGACAUGAGAAGUCACCGAAUGUAUUGGGACUGCAUGUUCUGUGGUUUACAGAAGCAGCUGGCCACCCCCCUGCAGCUUGCUGUGUCAGGCCUUUGCUUUGCACAUGCUGCCACAGCCGAGGUUGAAGACAGCUGGUGUGUUUUUCACCCUGUGACAGGUGCCAGAAACUGCCUAAGGCACGCUCCAUUGCUGCACCAGCCCCAAGCCUGGAAGAGCUGCAGCCAGGCAGGAUAGGUGGGAUGUGCUGAUUUUUGACAGCUGUGGUAAAACAGAGCUCUAUGAGAUGCAGAUGAGGAUCUAGCCAUAAACAGCUGUGUGCCAGGAGUAGAGUUCUAGUCUUGGUGCAUCCCCAGUUGCAGAGAUCUGGGGACAAGCUGAUCAAUGUUGCCUUGAGAGGGUCAGUGUCUGCCAACCUGCGUGGAAGGAGCACGGAGUUCUGCCAGCACUGCCAGCUCAGGUGAGCACUGUGGGAAUGCGUGAGUCUUGCUGACCUUGUGCAGAGAUGCUCUGGGCAUGCUUUGCAUGGUGCAGCUGCAGAUGUUGGGUUCGAGCCUGAGCAGAGCUGUAGGUUUCUGUUCCAGAUGGUCAGGGUGAGUUCACAAGCACAGUCAUUCCUGUUUCUCUUUACCAGCAUGUGUUGGGUGAUUUCCUAAGAGAAGAUACAAGCCUCUGUGCAAUCUCCUCCAUAUAAGCGAGACGUACAUGGCCUCAGCUCUG